rnacentral:rRNA from 1 species
GUGCCAGCAGCCGCGGUAAUACGGGGGGGGCAAGCGUUGUUCGGAAUUACUGGGCGUAAAGGGCUCGUAGGUGGCCAACUAAGUCAGACGUGAAAUCCCCAGGCUUAACCUGGGAACUGCGUCUGAUACUGGAUGGCUUGAAUUCGGGAGAGGGAUGCAGAAUUCCAGGUGUAGCGGUGAAAUGCGUAGAUAUCUGGAGGAAUACCGGUGGCGAAGGCGGCAUCCUGGACCGAGAUUGACACUGAUGAGCGAAAGCCAGGGGAGCAAACGGGAUUAGAAACCCCCGUAGUCC